GACGAACGCUGGCGGCGUGCUUAACACAUGCAAGUCGAACGGAAAGGCCCUGCUUUUGUGGGGUGCUCGAGUGGCGAACGGGUGAGUAACACGUGAGUAACCUGCCCUUGACUUUGGGAUAGCUUCAGGAAACUGGGGCUCAUACCGGAUAGGAGCUCCUGCUGCAUGGUGGGGGUUGGAAAGUUUCGGCGGUUGGGGAUGGACUCGCGGCUUAUCCGCUUGUUGGUGGGGUAGUGGCUUACCAAGGCUUUGACGGGUAGCCGGCCUGGGAGGGUGACCGGCGACAUGGGGACUGAGAUACGGAGCAGACGCCUACGGGAGGCAGCAGGGGGGAAUAUUGCACAAUGGGCGGAAGCCUGAGGCAGCAACGCCGCGUGCGGGAUGACGGCCUUCGGGUUGUAAACCGCUGUCGCCUGUGACGAAGCGUGAGUGACGGUAAUGGGUAAAGAAGCACCGGCUAACUACGUG
rnacentral:rRNA from 1 species